AGGUAACUAUUUCAAUUUAUCCGAUAAGGGUCUACAAUUUAGACUAUGAGGUCAUUUUUUGUAUUUAGUUUUAUAAAAACCCCCUCCCAGGUAAAUAUUGACUUAAUCUCAAUAAAGAUCUACAGGGUCUUCUCGUCCCUCUAGGGAAUUUAAGCAUUUUCACUUAAAAUUCAAGUUCUAAUUUUUAAAAAGGAGACAGGUAGGUCUCGGUUAGACCAUUCAUUCAAGUCUUCAAUUAAAAGACAAGUUAUUAUGCUACC
rnacentral:rRNA from 1 species